rnacentral:misc_RNA from 1 species
GAUGAAGAACGUAGCGAAAUGCGAUAAGUAAUGUGAAUUGCAGAUUUCAGUGAAUCAUCGAAUCUUUGAACGCACCUUGCGCCUUGUGGUAUUCCACAAGGCAUGCCCGUUUGAGUAUCAUUAAAUCAUCAACUCUAAAACCUUUGUGGUUUUUUUAGAGCUUGGUCUUGAGGGUUUUGCAGGCUUUUUUUUUUUCGAGUCUGCUCCCUUUAAAUGCAUUAGCGAGACUUCCCUAUGCUGAACCGUCUCUUUGACGUGAUAAUUAUCUGCGUCGAAUUUUGGUUCUCGUUGGGCUUGCUUCUAAUCGUCUGUUAAAGACAAAACGUAUUUGGGUGCAUAUAUGCGCCUUUUUCCAAAACCUUUUUUGAUCUCAAAUCGGGUAGGACUACCCGCUGAACUUAAGCAUAUCAAUAAGCGGAGGA